CCUUUACCCCUUUUUCCCCUCUCCUGACAACACGAUGCUUCUCUUAGCUGCAGACGCCUGCCAUGCAGGAAGCCGAAGCUAAACCGGACAUGCAUCUCCUUCAAGAGCACAGACUCUUCAUUGCUGUUGGCUUCGUGUCUGAUUUAUUCUGUCUCUCCCGUCCGUCUGUUCGUCUCUCUGUCUGUUUGUCUGUCUGUUGUUCCGUUCUGCUGGUCUCGUCUGCCGACUGUCUGGCGGUUUUGUGCUACCAUGUCACUACCUACUUAUCAUUGUCAUGAUGGAUGAGUAGACCAGACGGGGCCAUGGAUCGGGUGUAUGAUGUGGAAUGGAUGCGGCGGGUUCUUGAAGGGAUGACGAGUGACGGAAAUCGGUGGCAUCUGACGACGUUACAGCACUCGAGUUACCUGCAUACCUGGCAAAUAACGAACCCUUACCUCUCGUCCCUUUGACAUUCGCCUCGCAUACCACAGUACAUAUAUCUCAGUGAUAUUGAAGAGGCAACAACGCCCACUUGGAGUAACAAGUCAAAAGCCACGAGGUGUUGGACCCGGUGCCCGACUUGGUAGGGAAUGUGCACUACUUCCCUUGUGCGGGCACAACGGAUCACUGAUGUGACUCGAUCCAAUCUUUGCGAGAUGAAGUAUUGUGGAACAGAAGCUAUCUUGGUUCAAGCGGUUUUCGAUCACUGAUUGACGUCAAUCUGAGGUCGUAGUCAUUGACUUGGUUUCCGAGUUGGGCGGGCUAUAAUCAGCAGAAGACGAUAGUGCCUCUUGCUAACCUGGAUACCGGAGGUUAUUCCACAAGAACCUUGAGAACGUUGCUGUCGACAAUAUCACUGUCAUCGGUGUUACCAACGUCAGCAUCCUCUCCUUCCUCUUCAACGUCAUCCACCCCAUCUUCAUCUUGGGUAUCGUAAAAAUCAGUGCCACCUCGUUGCUCUCCUUCAUCAACGACAUCACUGGUCACAUAUCUGUCGUC